UUUCUGAAAUCAAAGUUCUGAUCCAUUUCAUGCAAUAUUUCGUAUUAAUUGUUUUUUAAGCUUCUUCAAUUAUUAUAUGAGGUAGAACAAAUGAAUUACAAUUUCCGUCCUAACUAAUAAUUCUCAGGCAAUGCAUCACAUUAAACACAUGGACUGGACGAGGUUGGACUGUUUGAUGAAGUGAAAGAACGUUAUCGUGGAAGUCAUAUUUGUUGUCGCUUAACAAUUUAUAAGGUGGAAUUUAUUAUGAAA